CAGCUACUUAAUAUUUGGAAAGAAAGCAAAGAGAUGUAAUAAGGUGGCAAACACCAUUCUACACCUGCAGCCAUUCAAUAAAUAACAAUAACUGUCAGGCACGGACAUGAAGGUGACCCUCUUUCUUUGAGGUACAAUCACAGAAAAUACUCGCCACUGUGUUUUCUCUGAAUCAGUAGAUGCUGAAGUUUCUAAUACCCAAUGACUGUCCUUGAAGAUAUCUAGAAGAGUGGUAUUACAGUACCCGUUGGUGGUAUUACAGUAACAGUUGGGAUGUGGUCUGCCAAACCAUCCCUGAUGCUUCUGUUGACUUUUGCCAUAGGGGUUUUUCAUCUUGCUGUUUGGAACCAUUAUGGACCACAAGAUAAGAGAUGCUUUGAGGAUGAGGAUGUCUUCACUGAAGGGGAGAUCAAGGGCAGCAGAGAAUGCAUCUUUAAGCCCAACCAAUGGAUCUAAAUUAAUGAAUCGUUGAAGAUGAGAUGUGAGUAUUAAAAACUGAAGGAGAAUCUUUGCUUUCAAGUUGUGAUGAACUCCUUAAUGCCCCUUGUGAGCACACUAUUGCCUAUGGUGUGAUGGAGGAGUGAGGUGGGGAGGGAACUGGUGGAUAUAUAGUGCAGAUAUGAGAAACUUCUCUAUUGCCCAGCACAUAAAUGAAAAUAGGCACAUCUUUAAAACCUAUGUCAUCUCAGUGUAUAUGUCCAAAUCUUUUUAAAAAGUUUUUAUUUAAA